rnacentral:lncRNA from 10 species
AGCACGGCAGACUGAGUGGUAUAAACAGAAAUGUAUUUCUCACAAUUCUGGAGGCUAAAGGUCUGAGAUCAAGCUGUCAGCAGGAUCUUCACAUGGUUCUUAAAUGCUCACGCGGAUAUGUCCAUGUUCAUAGCAAAGCAAUGAGGAUGCACUCCAGAUUCCUGGCAUUUUGCUUUGACCCAGGAUCAAAUUUGAGGCAAUGACGGUGGCACACGCCUGUAGUCCCAGCUACUCAAGAGGCUGAAACAGGAGAAUCGCCUGAACCCGG